rnacentral:rRNA from 1 species
UUUUAUGGAGAGUUUGAUCCUGGCUCAGGAUGAACGCUGGCGGCGUGCCUAAUACAUGCAAGUCGAGCGAACGGACGAGAAGCUUGCUUCUCUGAUGUUAGCGGCGGACGGGUGAGUAACACGUGGAUAACCUACCUAUAAGACUGGGAUAACUUCGGGAAACCGGAGCUAAUACCGGAUAAUAUUUUGAACCGCAUGGUUCAAAAGUGAAAGACGGUCUUGCUGUCACUUAUAGAUGGAUCCGCGCUGCAUUAGCUAGUUGGUAAGGUAACGGCUUACCAAGGCAACGAUGCAUAGCCGACCUGAGAGGGUGAUCGGCCACACUGGAACUGAGACACGGUCCAGACUCCUACGGGAGGCAGCAGUAGGGAAUCUUCCGCAAUGGGCGAAAGCCUGACGGAGCAACGCCGCGUGAGUGAUGAAGGUCUUCGGAUCGUAAAACUCUGUUAUUAGGGAAGAACAUAUGUGUAAGUAACUGUGCACAUCUU